rnacentral:rRNA from 1 species
GAUGAACGCUGGCGGCGUGCUUAACACAUGCAAGUCGAACGAAGCACUUUAUUUGAUUUCCUUCGGGACUGAUUAUUUUGUGACUGAGUGGCGGACGGGUGAGUAACGCGUGGGUAACCUGCCUUGUACAGGGGGAUAACAGUUGGAAACGGCUGCUAAUACCGCAUAAGCGCACAGCAUCGCAUGAUGCAGUGUGAAAAACUCCGGUGGUAUAAGAUGGACCCGCGUUGGAUUAGCUAGUUGGUGAGGUAACGGCCCACCAAGGCGACGAUCCAUAGCCGACCUGAGAGGGUGACCGGCCACAUUGGGACUGAGACACGGCCCAAACUCCUACGGGAGGCAGCAGUGGGGAAUAUUGCACAAUGGGCGAAAGCCUGAUGCAGCGACGCCGCGUGAGCGAAGAAGUAUUUCGGUAUGUAAAGCUCUAUCAGCAGGGAAGAUAAUGACGGUACCUGACUAAGAAGCACCG